UAGGAUAGAGGCCUACCAUGGUGGUAACGGGUAACGGGGUGUUAGGGCACGACACCGGAGAGGGAGCCUGAGAAACGGCUACCACAUCCAAGGAUGGCAGCGGGCGCGCAAAUUACCCAAUCCCGACACGGGGAGGUAGUGACAAUAAAUAACAAUACGGGGUUCUUUCGGAUCUCGUAAUUGGAAUGAGUACAAUUUAAAUCUCUUAACGAGGAACAAUUGGAGGGCAAGUCUGGUGCCAGCAGCCGCGGUAAUUCCAGCUCCAAUAGCGUAUAUUAAAGUUGUUGCAGUUAAAAAGCUCGUAGUUGAAUUUCGGGGUUAGUAGGUUGGUCAUGCCUCUGGUAUGUACUGGUCUCACUGAUUCCUCCUUCCUGAUGAACCGUAAUGCCAUUAAUUUGGUGUUGCGGGGAAUUUGGACUGUUACUUUGAAAAAAUUAGAGUGUUUAAAGCAAGCUAACGCUUGAAUACAUUAGCAUGGAAUAAUGAAAUAGGACGUUCGAUCCUAUUUUGUUGGUUUCUAGGAUUGACGUAAUGAUUAAUAGGGAUAGUUGGGGGCAUUAGUAUUCAAUUGUCAGAGGUGAAAUUCUUGGAUUUAUUGAAGACUAACUACUGCGAAAGCAUUUGCCAAGGAUGUUUUCAUUAAUCAAGAACGAAAGUUAGGGGAUCGAAGACGAUCAGAUACCGUCGUAGUCUAAACCAUAAACUACGCCGACUAGG
rnacentral:rRNA from 1 species